rnacentral:tRNA from 1 species
GACCGCAUAGCUCAGUUGGCAGAGCAUUGGGCUAGUAUUCGAAAGGUCGUAGGUUCGAUUCCCACCGUGGUCA